rnacentral:rRNA from 1 species
CCUUGUACACACCGCCCGUCACACCAUGGGAGUUGGUUCGACCCGAAGACGGUGCGCCAACCGCAAGGAGGCAGCCGGCCACGGUCGGGUCAGCGACUGGGGUG